rnacentral:lncRNA from 1 species
GCGGGAUGCAGGGAGGCGGGAUGCAGGGUGGCAGGAUGCAGAGAGAUGGGAUGAUGCAGGGAGGCAGGAUGCAGAGAGAUGGGAUGCAGGGAGGCAGGAUGCAGGGAGGCGGGAUGCAGGGAGGCAGGAUGCAGGGAGGCAGGAUGCAGGGUGGCGGGAUGCAGAGAGAUGGGAUGCAGGGAGGCAGGAUGCAGGGAGGCAGGAUGCAUGGAGGUGGGAUGCAGGGAAGUGGGAUGCAGGGUGGCAGGAUGCAGGGAGGCAGGCAUAGUUUAGAUGUUGGAAUGUCUUCAAGGAUCCUUGAAUUUCAGGCUUGCUCUCCA